UGCAGUCGGACGGGAUUGAGGAGCUUGCUUCUCAUGAGAGUGGCGCACGGGUGCGUAACACGUAUGUAACCUACCUUGUUCAGGGGGAUAGCCUCUCGAAAGAGAGAUUAACACCGCAUAAAAUCAAUUUAUGGCAUCAUAGAAUGAUCAAAUAUUUAUAGGAACAAGAUGGGCAUGCGGAACAUUAGCUAGUUGGUAAGGUAACGGCUUACCAAGGCUACGAUGUUUAGGGGAUCUGAGAGGAUGACCCCCCACACUGGUACUGAGACACGGACCAGACUCCUACGGGAGGCAGCAGUAAGGAAUAUUGGUCAAUGGACGCAAGUCUGAACCAGCCAUGCCGCGUGCAGGAAGACGGCCCUACGGGUUGUAAACUGCUUUUGUACCGGAAUAAACCUUUUCACGUGUGAGCAGCUGAAUGUACGGUAAGAAUAAGGAUCGGCUAACUCCGUGCCAGCAGCCGCGGUAAUACGGAGGAUCCAAGCGUUAUCCGGAUUUAUUGGGUUUAAAGGGUGCGUAGGUGGCCUAUUAAGUCAGGGGUGAAAGACGGUAGCUUAACUAUCGCAGUGCCUUUGAUACUGAUGGGCUUGAAUACACUUGAGGUAGGCGGAAUGUGACAAGUAGCGGUGAAAUGCAUAGAUAUGUCACAGAACACCAAUUGCGAAGGCAGCUUACUAAAGUGUUAUUGACACUGAGGCACGAAAGCGUGGGGAUCAAACAGGAUUAGAUACCCUGGUAGUCCACGCCCUAAACGAUGAAUACUCGAUGUUGGCGAUAUACGGUCAGCGUCUAAGCGAAAGCGUUAAGUAUUCCACCUGGGGAGUACGCCCGCAAGGGUGAAACUC
rnacentral:rRNA from 1 species